GUUACAGCUGGGAUGGGGUACUACUGACAUCUGGUGUGGGUAGAGGCCAGGGACGCUGGUCACAGCCUGCAUUCCACAUGGCAAGCCCCCACCACAAAGAAUCAGCUAGCCCCAGAUUGCAGUAGUGCUGAAGCUGGGAACGCUUGCUGGAAUCCGUCUUAUUUUCUGAUACAUUUCAGAGAAACCUGGAUACACUGGUAUACUUCCUCCUCAAUAUUUAAGCAUGAAUAUCAUGAACUAGAUUUCCGUAUUUAUUUACGGUGUUUGUCUUUCGAUGUGAAAUGUACAUGCAAUGAAAUGCAGAAGUCUUAAGGGUGCCUUCACUGAGUUUUGGCCACAGUGCAUUCGCCUGUGUAGCCCAAACCCAUGUCAGGACAGAGGACCUUUUACCAUUGGCUUGGAAAAUCCCCCUUAGCUCCUCUCCAGGCAAGCCUUUCAGCCUCCUUUCCCCAGGAGGCAACUACUAUUCUAAUUUUUUUUCCACCAUAGAAAGCAAUUAGAACAGGGUUCUCAGAGUUUUGUUUGUUUUAGAAUGGCAUAUAAAUGGAAUAACGACAGAUGUGCCCUUUGUGUGAGAGUUCUUUCACUCCAUGGCACAGCCGUUCUUAAAGUGUGUUCUGCAGGCCUCUUGGGUUCUCCAACACUCCUUCCAGGGGUCCUAUAUGUCACAGCUAUUUUCAUUAUAAUUCUGAGACAUUUUUCUCCUCUACACUGUGCUGACAUUUAUGUAGAUGGUGCAAAGGGAACGGUGGGUAAAUUGAGGCAGUAGCACCAAACUGUACCUUUGUCAUUGUGUUCUUCAUCACUACCAACUUACAGAAAAAGGCGCCAGCAUCACUUAAAAAUGCCCUGGGUGAAACAGAACAGAUGUGAAUCUUUUAAAAUCUCAGCCCCUGAAUACAUAUGCUUUUAAUAUUCUGUAUGAUGGCCAGGUGCGGUGGCUUACGCCUGUAAUCCCAGCACUUUGGGAGGCUGAGGCGGGCGGAUCACCUGAGGUCGGGAGUUCGAGACCAGCCUGACCAAUAUGGACAAACCCUGUCUUUACUAAAAAUACAAAAAUGAGCCGGGCGUCGUGGCACAUGCCUGUAAUCCCAGCUACUGGGGAGGCUGAGGCAGGAGAAUCGCUUGAACCUGGGAGGUGGAGGUUGCAGUGAGCCAAGAUCGUGCCAUUGCACUCCAGCCUGGGCAAUAAGAACAAAACUCCAUCUCAAAAAAAAAAAAAAAAA
rnacentral:lncRNA from 1 species